rnacentral:snoRNA from 1 species
UCCCUCCUAGGGUCGCACCUGGAGAGUUUCCAGUAUUCUACCAGUCCCGACUCUGGGAGGGAAAAUCAAGCAGACCUUACCCAUUCCAUCCCUAGCUUGGGCAGUGGCUAGUGAGUGGCAGGCAAUCUGCUACGGGU